AUGGACGGCCUCCUCCACUGGGAUUUCUCCCCCGGCCUCAAGGUCAAGGCACAGGUGCGUGCAAGGUUUGGAUCUACAGUCCACUUCGUCCCCCAUCCCGGCUCCAAGGCUUUCUUCCUUGAAGUCUCCUUCUCUUCGGCGUCUUUUCCCCUCUCGGUGGAUUCGAUGGGUUUGGCCCUUCAAUCAUGUAUUGGA
rnacentral:rRNA from 1 species